AGCAGCCGCGGUAAUUCCAGCUCCAAUAGCGUAUAUUAAAGUUGUUGCAGUUAAAAGCUCGUAGUUGAAUUUCGGAAUUUGUCGGUUGGUCGGGCUUUACUGUCCGCACUGACCUGAUGGAUUCCUACCUUCUGAAUAACCAGCAUGCUAUUAAGUUAGUGCGUUGGGGAAGCAGAGCUAUUACCUUGAAAAAUUAGAGUGCUUAAAGCAGGCUUGUGCUUGAAUAGAUUAGCAUGGAAUAAUAAAAUAGGACGGCAUGGUUCUAUUUUUUGUUGGUUUUCUAGGAUCACCGUAAUGAUUAAUAGGGAUAGUUGGGGCAUUAGUAUUCAAUUUGUCAGAGGGUGAAAUUCUUGGGAUUUAUUGAAGACUAAC
rnacentral:rRNA from 1 species